rnacentral:rRNA from 1 species
CACGUAGGUGGCAAGCGUUGUCCGGAAUUAUUGGGCGUAAAGCGUGCGCAGGCGGUUUUGUAAGUCUGUCGUGAAAUCCCCGGGCUCAACCUGGGAAUUGCGAUGGAGACUGCAAGGCUAGAAUCUGGCAGAGGGGGGUAGAAUUCCACGUGUAGCAGUGAAAUGCGUAGAGAUGUGGAGGAACACCGAUGGCGAAGGCAGCCCCCUGGGUCAAGAUUGACGCUCAUGCACGAAAGCGUGGGGAGCAAACAGG